CACGGGGGGAGCAAGCGUUGUUCGGAAUCACUGGGCGUAAAGGGAGUCUAGGCGGUCAGGUAAGUGGGAUGUGAAAUCCCUCGGCUCACCCGAGGACCUGCAUCCCAAACUGUCUGGCUUGAGUAUGGGAGAGGAUGAGGGAAUUCCUGGUGUAGCGGUGAAAUGCGUAGAUAUCAGGAAGAACACCCGUGGCUAAGGCGGCUCUCUAGUACGGUACUGACGCUGAGACGCGAAAGCGUGGGGAGCGAACAGG
rnacentral:rRNA from 1 species